UCUUAUUUGGGUGGAGCAAGUGAGGGCAGCUCAAACUCUUACCGCUGAUCUUGACUGCAGAGAAGACCACCAGAACCAAACAAGGGAGAAACUCAACAUUUUCAUCUCUCCCAGUUUCUUGAGUGUUUUAUAACAAAUACAGGAGUGACUUCUCUCCUCUUUCUGAAGCUGUGCAGACUGUGAGUGUGCUGGAAGCAGCUGAAUGGGGUUUGGUGAGACUUUUAAAGCAAGUCCUCAAGAGAGCUACUAGGAGUUACUAGAGCAAGUUAUUUUCACUGAGACUGAAACUCAUAGAAGAGCCAAGAGAAGAGAUGGCUAGUUCUCUGUGAUGGGAUCCUGUGGCUUCAGGGUACUGUGUUUUUCAAGGAUGUGGCCAUAGACUUCUCUCAGAAGGAGUGGG
rnacentral:lncRNA from 1 species